AGAGUACAUCUGAAAUUAGUUAUCAAUUAAGCAAAGACAGGAAAAAAGGUUCAAGUCAAAACUAUGAAAAUCUCUCAAGAAUCAUAAGACACAAAGUUGCCUACAUUGUCCUCAUGGAAAUAUCACUAAGGGGCACCUUCCUGUUUCUAACUCCCGGUCCGCUUCGGGGGGACCUUCAAAAUGCCAUGCCCGACUGCCUUUAAACACCUUUAAUGGCUCAGUUCAUUUUGCAGUCCAAAACUUAGUUAAGAUGGUCUUGACCGAGCAAAGAAUCUCAAACCUUCCAAAAAUUUAUGAAGAGACUUUCAAAAUAUUUCAAAAGAUACUGGUGAUAGGAUGGGGAUGCUACCAAACAAGAAUGGAACGAAUUCAUUCAGUCAUAUCGGUAUUCAACAAGCCAGAAAUCAGACCUGGCACUGUAUUACCAGUGAAGGUAUCAGAAGCACUGAAGAGUCCCCCAUUAUGUUUUAGAGCUUAGGAGGAAGACGUAGUUACAAUUUUAACUGCAAAUGUUAGGUUUAUAGUCCAAGGAAGCAGAACUAAAUGGUUAUUGCUGGAACAGUAGACUCAGCUGACCAAAUUGUGUCCAAAUGCAUUUUCAGUAUGUUUCCCUAAAGUCAGGAAAGACUUGCAGGUGUGUCCUAAGUGGAAUCAAUUUAGUCCGUCGUACAAGGAGGUAGUCAUUAAGGGGCUAGUUUUGAGCUUUAAAAACACAUUUGAGCAGAGACCUUGUUAUUUCUACUAUUUAUGAAUUAAUUUUACCUUCAGGAGGGUAUGUAUUUUAUCACUUUAGGUAUUUUCACCUCAUUGUGGGGGCUGCCAUG